rnacentral:Y_RNA from 1 species
GGUUGGUUCGAGUGCAGUGGUGUUUACAACUAAUUGAUCACAACCAGUUACAGAUUCCUUUGUUCCUUCUCCACUCCCACUGCUUCACCUGACCAGCCAAAA